rnacentral:lncRNA from 1 species
GUCAGAUGAAGCGGAUGCUAAGCUACAGGACUGUAUCGCUAGCACAGACUGGAAUAUGUUCCUCCGAUGGCGUUGAGUCACCGGCUUCAUUAAUAAGUGCAUCGACGACUUUGUCUCCACAGUGACAGUACGUACAUUUCCCAACCAGAAGCCAUGGAUUAAAGGCAACAUCCGCACUGAGCUAAAGGCUAGAGUUACCGCUUUCAAGGAGCGGGACACGAAUCCGGGCACUGAUAAGAAAUCCCGCUACGCCCUCAGACAAACCAUCAAACAGGCAAAGCAUCAAUACAGGUCUAAGAUUGAAUCGUACAAUACCGGCUCCAACGCUCGUCGGAUGUGGCAGGGCUUGAAGACUAUUACAGACUACAAAGGGAAACUAUCAUGGAUUAUGAAGGGAAACCCAAUCGCGAGCUGUCUCGCCUACCAGACGAACUAAAUACCUUUUACGCUUGCUUCGAGGCAAGCAAUCCUGAACCAUGCAGCAGCAACUAUUCUGGACGACUGUGUGAUCUCCGUAGCCAAUGUGAGUAAGACUUUUAAACAGGUCAACAUUCACAAGGCCGCAGGGACAGACGAAGACCGCAACAACACAUCCGCCAUGCUGAUCCUCAAUACGGGGGCCCCUCCGUUGUGCGUACUCAGUCCCCUCCUGUACUCCCUGUUCACUCAUGACUGCACUGCCAGGCACAACUCCAAUACCAUCAUUAAGUUUGCUGAUGACACAACAGUGGUAGGCCUGAUCACCGACAACGAUGAGACAGCCUAUAGGGAGGAGGUCAGAGACCUGGACGGGUGGUGCCAGGACAACAACCUCUACCUCGACGUGAUCAAGACAAAGGAGAUGAUUGUGGACUACAGGAAAAGGAGGACCGAGCAUGCCCUCAUUCUCAUCGACGGGGCUGAAGUGGAGUAGGUUGAGAGCUUCAAGUUCCUUGGUGUCCACAUCACCAACAAACUAUCAUGGUCCAAACACACCAAGACAGUCAUGAAGAGGACACGACAAAACCUAUUCCCCCUCAGGAGACUGAAAAGAUUUGGCAUGUGUCCUCAGAUCCUCAAAAGGUUCUACAGCUGCACCAUCGAGAGCAUCCUGACUGGUUGCAUCACUGCCUGGUAUGGCAACUGCUCGGCCUCCGACCGCAAGGCACUACAGAGGGUAGUGCGUAUGCCCCAGUACAUCACCGAGGCCAAGCUUCCUGCCAUCCAGGAUCUCUACACCAGGUGGUGCCAGAGGAAGGCCCUAAAAAUGGUCAAAGACUCCAGCCACCCCCAGCCAUAGACUGUUCUCUCUGCUACCGCACGGCAAGCGGUACCGGGGCACCAAGUCUAGGUCCAAGAGGCUUCUAAACAGCUUCUACCACCAAGCCAUAAGACUCCUGAACAGCUAAUCAAAUGGCUACCCAGACUACUUUCAUUGCCCCCCCCCCCCUUCCUUCUGCUGCACUCUGUUAUCAUCUAUGCAUAGUCACUUUAAUAACUCUACCUGACGUGUUCUAUACUGAUGGCACUGUUUUCAACUACAUAUCUGUGAUAACUCAAUUUAGACUACCAGAAAGCUAGUCCUUGUUUACAAUGAUCAGAAGUGCAAUUCUCACAGUGAGGUUCAAACACAUCAUUGGAAAGUUUUCACAACAUUUUAGUCAUUUAGCAAACACUUAUCCAGAGCAACUUACAGUAGUGAAUGCAUACAUUUCCCACAUUGACUCUGUAUAUAGGGGUACCGUAUAUAGCCUCCACAUUGACUCUGUACCAGUACCCCCUGUAUAUAGCCUCCACAUUGACUCUGUACCGGUACCCACUGUAUAUAGCCUCCACAUUGACUCUGUACCGGUACCCCCUGUAUAUAGCCUCCACAUUGACUCUGUACCGGUACCUCCUGUAUAUAGCCUCCACAUUGACUCUGUACCGGUACCCCCUGUAUAUAGCCUCCACAUUGACUCUGUACCAGUACCCCCUGUAUAUAGCCUCCACAUUGACUCUGUACCGGUACCGCCUGUAUAUAGCCUCCACAUUGACUCUGUACCAGUACCCCCUGUAUAUAGCCUCCACAUUGACUCUGUACCGGUACCCCCUGUAUAUAGCCUCCACAUUGACUCUGUACCGGUACCCCCUGUAUAUAGCCUCCACAUUGACUCUGUACCGGUACCCCCUGUAUAUAGCCUCCACAAUGACUCUGUACCGGUACCCCCUGUAUAUAGCCUCCACAUUGACUGUGUACCGGUACUCCCUGUAUAUAGCCUCCACAUUGACUCUGUACUGGUACCCCCUGUAUAUAGCCUCCACAUUGACUCUGUACCGGUACCCCCUGUAUAUAGCCUCCACAUUGACUCUGUACCGGUACCCCUUGUAUAUAGCCUCCACAUUGACUCUGUACCGGUACCCCCUGUAUAUAGCCUCCACAUUGACUCUGUACUGGUACCGCCUGUAUAUAGCCUCCACAUUGACUCUGUACCGGUACCCCCUGUAUAUAGCCUCCACAUUGACUCUGUACCGGUACCCCCUGUAUAUAGCCUCCACAUUGACUCUGUUCCGGUACCCCCUGUAUAUAGCCUCCACAUUGACUCUGUACCGUAAUACCCUGUAUAUAGCCUCCACAUUGACUCUGUACCGUAACACCCUGUAUAUAGCCUCCACAUUGACUCUGUACCGUAAUGCCCUGUAUAUAGCCUCCACAUUGACUCUGUACCGGUACCCCCUGUAUAUAGCCUCCACAUUGACUCUGUACCGGUACCCCCUGUAUAUAGCCUCCACAUUGACUCUGUACCAGUACCCCUGUAUAUAGCCUCCACAUUGACUCUGUACCGGUACCCCCUGUAUAUAGCCUCCACAUUGACUCUGUACCGGUACCCCCUGUAUAUAGCCUCCACAUUGACUCUGUACCGGUACCCCUGUAUAUAGCCUCCACAUUGACUCUGUACCGUAAUACCCUGUAUAUAGCCUCCACAUUUACUCUGUACCGGUACCCCCUGUAUACAGCCUCCACAUUGACUCUGUACCGGUACCCCCUGUAUAUAGCCUCCACAUUGACUCUGUACCGGUACCCCCUGUAUAUAGCCUCCACAUUGACUCUGUACUGGUACCCCCUGUAUAUAGCCUCCACAUUGACUCUGUACCGGUACCCCCUGUAUAUAGCCUCCACAUUGACUCUGUACUGGUACCCCCUGUAUAUAGCCUCCACAUUGACUCUGUACCGGUACCCCCUGUAUAUAGCCUCCACAUUGACUCUGUACUGGUACCCCCUGUAUAUAGCCUCCACAUUGACUCUGUACUGGUACCCCCUGUAUAUAGCCUCCACAUUGACUCUGUACCGGUACCCCCUGUAUAUAGCCUCCACAUUGACUCUGUACCGGUACCCCCUGUAUACAGCCUCCACAUUGACUCUGUACCGGCACCGCCUGUAUACAGCCUCCACAUUGACUCUGUACCGGUACCCCCUGUAUACAGCCUCCACAUUGACUCUGUACCGGCACCGCCUGUAUACAGCCUCGCUAUUGUUAUUUUACUGCUGCUCUUUAAUUAUUUGUUACUUUUAUUGAAUUUAUUUUAGAUAUUUUUCUUAAAACUGCAUUGUCGGUUGUAAAUAAGCAUUUCAAUGUAAGGUUGUAUGUGCAUGUGACACACUUUUGAUUUGAUUUGAUUUGAAGUCUGGAACCAAACAGGACCCUGAACAGUCAUAGACUGUUCUCUCUGCUACCGCACGGCAAGCGGUACCGAUGGACCAAGUCUAGAACCAAACAGGACCCUGAACAGCAUCUACCCCCAAAGCCAUAAGACUGAUAAAUAGUUAGUCCAGGUAGCUAUUGGUUAACUAUUUAACGAUCUGCAUUAACCCUUUUUUGCACCAACUCUUUUGACUCAUCACAUAUGCUGCUGUUUACUCUCUAUCCUGUUGUCACUUUAUCCCAUCCUAUAUGUGACCCGUUUCAGGAAGCUAAGCGUAUGUCCCACGUCACUACUUCACAGGAGAGGCAUUUGAACGUAACAAAACAUUUUUUUUUUUUUUUUAAUGAAAAUAUGUUUUUUGGCAGAAAUGCUUUCUGGAACAUCAAAUCAAAUGUUAUUGGUCACAUGGUUAGCAGAUGUUAUUGGUCACAUGGUUAGCAGAUGUUAUUGGUCACAUGGUUAACAGAUGUUAUUGGUCACAUGGUUAACAGAUGUUAUUGGUCACAUGGUUAAUAGAUGUUAUUGGUCACAUGGUUAACAGAUGUUAUUGGUCACAUGGUUAACAGAUGUUAUUGGUCACAUGGUUAACAGAUGUUAUUGGUCCAUACACAUGGUUAGCAGAUGUUAUUGGUCACAUGGUUAGCAGAUGUUAUUGGUCCAUACACAUGGUUAGCAGAUGUUAUUGGUCACAUGGUUAGCAGAUGUUAUUGGUCCAUACACAUGGUUAGCAGAUGUUAUUGGUCACAUGGUUAGCAGAUGUUAUUGGUCACAUACACAUGGUUAGCAGAUGUUAUUGUGAGUGUAGCGAAAUGCUAAUGCUUCUAGAUCCGAAGGUGCAGUAAUAUCUCUCAUGAGCCUUAAUAACAAACGUGUACGCCAUCUGUAAAUACGAAUGAAAUUGUUAAAUUACGAGCCUAGUUGGUUUAGCCACGGAAAAAGACAGUAACUUUCCCGCUAGCCAGUGGGGAAAAGCUGUGAUGGACUACUUUCUGGAGGACGAUCGUGCCAUGCUGACUCUCUCUGAUUCUGAAAACGAAUCAAACAGUAAAGAAAUCUCAGACUAUUCUGACGUUUGAUUGCAUCCGUGACAGAGAGGUAGAAAGAUCUGAUGAUUCUGAUGGCAUUGUAGUAGUAGCAGCAGCAGCAGCAGCAGCAGCAGUAGUAGUUUUUUCUUUAUUUUUACUAUUUUUACUAUUUUCUACAUUGUAGAAUAAUAGUGAAGACAUCAAAACUAUGAAAUAACACAUAUGGAAUCAUGUAGUAACCAAAAAAGUGUUAAACAUAUCAAAAUAUAUUUUAUACUUGAGAUUAUUCAAAGAAGCCACCCUUUGCCUUGAUGACAGCUUUGCACACUCUUGGCAUUACAACACAGGGUUACAGUCACCAACGCUCUGGAUAACAUGAAAACAGCCUAACCAGCUCUGCUAGGAGGAGUAAAAUGGUCAGAGUUUGGGCUGGGGCUAACGCUUAAGAUGAUUCUGAUGGCAUUGCACACGGUCAGUGUGAACCAGAGAGACCUGACACAACGGACCACAAACAGAACAGAAACGACACAGGAUGUCUUAUUUAAUGAAAGGAGUUCCGGUCUGCUGUGACACGUUCAUCCAUCUAUACGGGUAAGAGUCUAGCUACAGUUUCAGAUAUUAUACGUGUCUUAUCUUGUCAGAAAGUUGUAUGGCUCAGUCUGUAGGGCUCAGUCGGUAGGGCGCGGCUCAGUAGGGAGGGAGCGGCUCAGUCUGUAGGGCUCAGUCGGUAGGGCGCGGCUCAGUAGGGAGGGAGCGGCUCAGUCGGUAGGGAGCGGCUCAGUCGGUAGGGAGCGGCUCAGUAGGGAGGGAGGGAGCGGCUCAGUAGGGAGGGAGCGGCUCAGUCUGUAGGGCUCAGUCGGUAGGGAGCGGCUCAGUCGGUAGGGCGCGGCUCAGUCGGUAGGGAGCGGCUCAGUCAGUAGGGAGCGGCUCAGUCGGUAGGGCGCGGCUCAGUCGGUAGGGUUCAGUUGGUAGGGCUCAGUCGGUAGGGCUCAGUCGGUAGGGCUCAGUCGGUAGGGCGUGGCUCAGUCGGUAGGGCUCAGUCGGUAGGGCGUGGCUCAGUCGGUAGGGCUCAGUCGGUAGGGCUCAGUCGGUAGGGCUCAGUCGGUAGGGCGCGGCUCAGUCGGUAGGGCUCAGUCGAUAGGGCGUGGCUCAGUCGGUAGGGCGCGGCUCAGUCGGUAGGGAGCGGCUCAGUCGGUAGGGUGCUGCUCAGUCAGUAGGGCGCGGCUCAGUCGGUAGAGCGCGGCUCAGUCGGUAGGGCGCGGCUCAGUCAGUAGGGCGCUGCUCAGUCGGUAGGGCUCAGUCGGUAGGGCGCGGCUCUGUUGGAGGGGCGUGGCUCAGUCGGUAGUGCGCGGCUCUGUUGGAGGGGCGUGGCUCAGUCGGUAGGGCGCGGCUCAGUCGGUAGGGCUCAGUCGGUAGUGCGCGGCUCUGUUGGAGGGGCGUGGCUCAGUCGGUAGGGCGCGGCUCAGUCGGUAGGGCUCAGUCGGUAGGGUGCGGCUCUGUUGGAGGGGCGUGGCUCAGUCAGUAGGGAGCGGCUCAGUCAGUAGGGCUCAGUCGGUAGGGCUCAGUCGGUAGGGCUCAGUCGGUAGGGCGUGGCUCUGUUGGAGGGGCGUGGCUCAGUCAGUAGGGCGCGGCUCUGUCAAUAGGGCGCGGCUCAGUCAAUAGGGCGCGGCUCAGUCAAUAGGGAGCGGCUCAGUCAGUAGGGAGCGGCUCAGUCAGUAGGGCGCGGCUCAGUCAGUAGGGAGCGGCUCAGUCAGUAGGGAGCGGCUCAGUCAGUAGGGCGCGGCUCAGUCAAUAGGGAGCGGCUCAGUCGGGAGGGAGCGGCUCAGUCGGGAGGGAGGGAGCGGCUCAGUCGGUAGGGAGCGGCUCAGUCGGGAGGGAGGGAGCGGCUCAGUCGGUAGGGAGCGGCUCAGUCGGUAGGGCGCGGCUCAGUCGGUAGGGAGCGGCUCAGUCGGUAGGGCGCGGCUCAGUCGGUAGGGCGCGGCUCAGUCGGUAGGGCGCUCAGUCGGUAGGGAGCGGCUCAGUCGGUAGGGAGCAGCUCAGUCGGGAGGGAGCGGCUCAGUAGGGAAGGAGCGGCUCAGUAGGGAGGGAGCAGCUCAGUAGGGAGGGAGCGGCUCAGUAGGGAGGGAGCGGCUCAGUAGGGAGGGAGGGAGCGGCUCAGUCGGGAGGGAGUGGCUCGGUAGGGAGGGAGGGAGCGGCUCAGUAGGGAGGGAGGGAGCGGCUCAGUAGGGAGGGACGGAGCGGCUCAGUAGGGAGGGACUGGCUCAGUCAAUAGGGCGCGGCUCAGUCGGUAGGGAGCGGCUCAGUAGGGAGGGAGCGGCUCAGUAGGGAGGGAGGGAGUGGCUCAGUAGGGAGGGAGCGGCUCAGUAGGGAGGGAGGGAGCGGCUCAGUAGGGAGGGAGAGGCGGCUCAGUCGGUAGGGAGUGGCUCAGUAGGGAGGGAGCGGCUCAGUAGGGAGGGAGGGAGUGGCUCAGUAGGGAGGGAGCGGCUCAAUAGGGAGGGAGCGGCUCAGUAGGGAGGGAGGGAGCGGCUCAGUAGGGAGGGAGGGAGCGGCUCAGUCGGUAGGGAGCGGCUCAGUAGGGAGGGAGAGAGCGGCUUAGUCGGUAGGGCUCAGUCGGUAGGGCUCAGUAGGGAGGGAGCGGCUCAGUCGGUAGUUGUAGCCUAAUGCUAGCUAGCUAACAUUGCACCUAGUUGGUUAACGUUAGCUACCUGCAGAUUCAUACUACAGCAUUUCAUGCAUGGUGGCUCUGACUAUCAGUUUGUAUUCUCCCUCUCUCUCUCUCUCUCUCUCUCUCUCUCUCCGUGUGUUUGCAUGUGUGUGGCUGAGGACUAUCUAGAGAGAGGGGACAACACAGACACUCAGAGCACAGAGAGAGGGGACAACACAGACACUCAGAGCACAGAGAGAGGGGACAACACAGACACUCAGAGCACAGAAAGAGGACAACACAGACACUCCGAGCACAGAGAGGGGACAACACAGACAAAAGUGCUCUCCAUUAGAAUCAGUGAAAGCAGGAUUCCUGCUAAGCUCUUUAAGCUGCUAGCCCACCCCUGUCUACCCCGAUCCACUUUUAACCACCCAUAUCUACCUCUAUCUACCCCUAUCCACCUCUAUCUACCCCUAAGUACCCAUCUAUCCUAAUUCACCCCAUCUACCCCUAUCAAUCAAAUGUAUUUAUAUCACCCUUCUUACAUCAGCUGAUAUCUCAAAGUGCUGUACAGAAACCCAGCCUAAAACCCCAAGCAGCAAGCAAUGCAGGUGUAGAAGCACGGUGGCUAGGAAAAACUCCCUAGAAAGGCCAGAACCUAGGAAGAAACCUAGAGAGGAACCAGGCUAUGAGGGGUGGCCAGUCCUCUUCUGGCUGUGCCGGGUGGAGAUUAUAUCCACCCCAUCUACCCCUGUACACCCCUACAGUGCCUUGCAAAAGUAUUCACCCCCCUUGGCGUUUUUCCUAUUUUUUGCAUUACAACCUGUUAUUUAAAUUGAUUUUUAUUUGUAUUUCAUGUCAUGGACAGAAUAGUAAUGUCAUGAAAUAGUCCAAAUUGGUUAAGU